AUUGAAUAUUUGACCUCAAAUCAGGUAGGACUA
rnacentral:rRNA from 1 species